UGCUUGGAGCUGGAGUUGAACCAGCGACCUUAGGAACAUAGCGUUUCAGGAACUUCUUAAAGUCAUGUGCUCUACCAACUGAGCUAUGAAGGUGCUUAUAGAUAAAAACGCAGAAAACAUAGUGGCUUCGGCGACACACUUUGCCAAAACAACAAUCAAGCCACCUGGUCAAUGAAAAAGGAUGAACAGUGCAUAUACAAAUGAAAUCUGUUGCUUGGAGCUGGAGUUGAACCAGGGAGCUUUGGAGCACAGCGUUUAAGGAACUUCUUAAACACAUGUGCUCUACCAACUGAGCUAUGAAGGUGCUUAUAGAUAAAAACGCAGAAAACAUAGUGGCUUCGGCGACACACUUUGCCAAAACAACAAUCAAGCCACCUGGUCAAUGAAAAAGGAUGAACAGUGCAUAUACAAAUGAAAUCUGGUGCUUGGAGCUGGAGUUGAACCAGGGACCUUUGGACAACAGCGUUUCAGGAACUUCUUACAGUCAUGUGCUCUACCAACUGAGCUAUGAAGGUGCUUAUAGAUGAAAACGCAGAAAACAUAGUGGCUUCGGCGACACACUUUGCCAACACAACAAUCAUGCCACCUGGUCAAUGAAAAAGGUUGAACAGUGCAUAAAUCAAUGAAAUCUGGUGUUUGGAGCAGGAGUUGAACCAGCGACCUUUGGACCACAGCAUUUCAGGAACUUCUUAAAGUCAUGUGCUCUACCAACUGAGCUAUGAAGGUCCUUUUAGAUAAAAACGCAGAAAACAUAGUGGCUUCGGCGACACACUUUGCCAAAACAACAAUCAAGCCACCUGUGCAAUGAAAAAGGUUGAACAGUGCAUAUACAAAUGACAACUGGAUGCUUGGAGCUGGAGUUCAACCAGCGACCUUUGGACCACAGCGUUUCAGGAACUUCUUAAAGUCAUGUGCUCUACCAACUGAGCUAUGAAGGUGCUUAUAGACACAAACGCAGAAAACAUAGUGGCUUCGGCGACACACUUUGCCAACAAUACAAUUGGACCCACAUGGUCAAUGAAAAAGGUUGAACAGUGCAGAGACCAAUGAAAUCUGGUGUUUGGAGCAGGAGUUGAACCAGCGACUUUUGGACCACAGCGUUUCAGGAACUUCUUAAAGUCAUGUGCUCUACCAACUGAGCUAUGAAGGUGCUUAUAGAUAAAAACGCAGAAAACAUAGUGGCUUCGGCGACACACUUUGCCAAAACAACAAUCAAGCCACCUGGUCAAUGAAAAAGGAUGAACAGUGCAUAUACAAAUGAAAUCUGUUGUUUGGAGCAGGAGUUGAACCAGCGACCUUUGGACCACAGCGUUUCAGGAACCUCUUAAAGUCAUGUGCUCUACCAACUGAGCUAUGAAGGUGCUUAUAGAUAAAAACGCAGAAAACAUAGUGGCUUCGGCGACACACUUUGCCAACACAACAAUCAAGCCACCUGGUCAAUGAAAAAGGUUGAACAGUGCAUAGACCAAUGAAAUCUGGUGCUUGGAGCUGGAGUUGAACAAGCGACCUUUGGACCACAGCGUUUCAGGAACUUCUUAAAGUCAUGUGCUCUACCAACUGAGCUAUGAAGGUGCUUAUAGAUAAAAACGCAGAAAACAUAGUGGCUUCGGCGACACACUUUGCCAAAACAACAAUCAAGCCACCUGGUCAAUGAAAAAGGAUGAACAGUGCAUAUACAAAUGAAAUCUGGUGCUUGGAGCUGGAGUUGAACCAGGGACCUUUGGACCACAGCGUUUCAGGAACUUCUUACAGUCAUGUGCUCUACCAACUGAGCUAUGAAGGUGCUUAUAGAUGAAAAUGCAGAAAACAUAGUGGCUUCGGCGACACACUUUGCCAACACAACAAUCAAGCCACCUGGUCAAUGAAAAAGGUUGAACAGUGCAUAAAUCAAUGAAAUCUGGUGUUUGGAGCAGGAGUUGAAGCAGCGACCUUUGGACCACAGCGUUUCAGGAACUUCUUAAAGUCAUGUGCUCUACCAACUGAGCUAUGAAGGUGCUUAUAGAUAAAAACGCAGAAAACAUAGUGGCUUCGGCGACACACUUUGCCAACAUAACUAUUGAACCAACAUGGUCAAUGAAAAAGGUUGAACAGUGCAUACACCAAUGAAAUCUGGUGUUUGGAGCUGGAGUUGAACCAGCGUCCUUUGGACCACAGCGUUUAAGGAACUUCUUAAAGUCAUGUGCUCUACCAACUGAGCUAUGAAGGUGCUUAUAGAUAAAAACGCAGAAAACAUAGUGGCUUCGGCGACACACUUUGCCAAAACAACAAUCAAGCCACCUGGUCAAUGAAAAAGGAUGAACAGUGCAUAUACAAAUGAAAUCUGGUGCUUGGAGCUGGAGUUGAACCAGCGACCUUUGGACCACAGCGUUUCAGGAACUUCUUAAACACAUGUGCUCUACCAACUGAGCUAUGAAGGUGCUUAUAGAUAAAAACGCAGAAAACAUAGUGGCUUCGGCGACACACUUUGCCAAAACAACAAUCAAGCCAUCUGGUCAAUGAAAAAGGAUGAACAGUGCAUAUACAAAUGAAAUCUGGUGCUUGGAGCUGGAGUUGAACCAGCGACCUUUGGACCACAGCGUUUCAGGAACUUCUUAAAGUCAUGUGCUCUACCAACUGAGCUAUGAAGGUGCUUAUAGAUAAAAACGCAGAAAACAUAGUGGCUUCGGCGACACACUUUGCCAACAUAACUAUUGAACCAACAUGGUCAAUGAAAAAGGUUGAACAGUGCAUACACCAAUGAAAUCUGGUGUUUGGAGCUGGAGUUGAACCAGCGUCCUUUGGACCACAGCGUUUAAGGAACUUCUUAAAGUCAUGUGCUCUACCAACUGAGCUAUGAAGGUGCUUAUACAUAAAAAACCCAGAAAACAUAGUGGCUUCGGCGACACACUUUGCCAAAACAACAAUCAAGCCACCUGGUCAAUGAAAAAGGAUGAACAGUGCAUAUACAAAUGAAAUCUGGUGCUUGGAGCUGGAGUUGAACCAGGGACCUUUGGACCACAGCGUUUUAGGAACUUCUUAAAGUCAUGUGCUCUACCAACUGAGCUAUGAAGGUGCUUAUAGAUAGAAACGCAGAAAACAUAGUGGCUUCAGCGACACACUUUGCCAACAUAACUAUUGAACCAACAUGGUCAAUGAAAAAGGUUGAACAGUGCAUACACCAAUGAAAUCUGGUGUUUGGAGCUGGAGUUGAACCAGCGUCCUUUGGACCACAGCGUUUAAGGAACUUCUUAAAGUCAUGUGCUCUACCAACUGAGCUAUGAAGGUGCUUAUAGAUAAAAACGCAGAAAACAUAGUGGCUUCGGCGACACACUUUGCCAAAACAACAAUCAAGCCACCUGGUCAAUGAAAAAGGAUGAACAGUGCAUAGACCAAUGAAAUGUGGUGUUUGGAGCAGGAGUUGAACCAGCGACCUUUGGACCACAGCGUUUCGGGAACUUCUUAAAGUCAUGUGCUCUACCAACUGAGCUAUGAAGGUGCUUAUAGAUAAAAACGCAGAAAACAUAGUGGCUUCGGCGACACACUUUGCCAAAACAACAAUCAAGCCACCUGGUCAAUGAAAAAGGAUGAACAGUGCAUAUACAAAUGAAAUGUGGUGUUUGGAGCAGGAGUUGAACCAGCGACCUUUGGACCACAGCGUUUCGGGAACUUCUUAAAGUCAUGUGCUCUACCAACUGAGCUAUGAAGGUGCUUAUAGAUAAAAACGCAGAAAACAUAGUGGCUUCGGCGACACACUUUGCCAAAACAACAAUCAAGCCACCUGGUCAAUGAAAAAGGAUGAACAGUGCAUAUACAAAUGAAAUCUGGUGCUUGGAGCUGGAGUUGAACCAGCGACCUUUGGACCACAGCGUUUUAGGAACUUCUUAAAGUCAUGUGCUCUACCAACUGAGCUAUGAAGGUGCUUAUAGAUAAAAACGCAGAAAACAUAGUGGCUUCGGCGACACACUUUGCCAACAUAACUAUUGAACCAACAUGGUCAAUGAAAAAGGUUGAACAGUGCAUAGACCAAUGAAAUGUGGUGUUUGGAGCAGGAGUUGAAACAGCGUCCUUUGGACCACAGCGUUUCAGGAACUUCUUAAAGUCAUGUGCUCUACCAACUGAGCUAUGAAGGUGCUUAUAGACACAAACGCAGAAAACAUAGUGGCUUCGGCGACACACUUUGCCAACAAUACAAUUGGACCGACAUGGUCAAUGAAAAAGGUGUAACAGUGCAUAGACCAAUGAAAUCUGGUGUUUGGAGCAGGAGUUGAACCAGCGACCUUUGGACCACAGCGUUUCAGGAACUUCUUAAAGUCAUGUGCUCUACCAACUGAGCUAUGAAGGUGCUUAUAGAUAAAAACGCAGAAAACAUAGUGGCUUCGGCGACACACUUUGCCAACAUAACUAUUGAACCAACAUGGUCAAUGAAAAAGGUUGAACAGUGCAUAUACAAAUGAAAUCUGGUGUUUGGAGCUGGAGUUGAACCAGCGACCUUUGGACCACAGCGUUUCAGGAACUUCUUAAAGUCAUGUGCUCUACCAACUGAGCUAUGAAGGUGCUUAUAGAUAAAAACGCAGAAAACAUAGUGGCUUCGGCGACACACUUUGCCAACAUAACUAUUGAACCAACAUGGUCAAUGAAAAAGGUUGAACAGUGCAUACACCAAUGAAAUCUGGUGUUUGGAGCUGGAGUUGAACCAGCGUCCUUUGGACCACAGCGUUUAAGGAACUUCUUAAAGUCAUGUGCUCUACCAACUGAGCUAUGAAGGUGCUUAUAGAUAGAAACGCAGAAAACAUAGUGGCUUCGGCGACACACUUUGCCAACAAUACAAUUGGACCCACAUGGUCAAUGAAAAAGGUUGAACAGUGCUUAGACAAAUGAAAUGUGGUGUUUGGAGCAGGAGUUGAACCAGCGACCUUUGGACCACAGCGUUUCGGGAACUUCUUAAAGUCAUGUGCUCUACCAACUGAGCUAUGAAGGUGCUUAUAGAUAAAAACGCAGAAAACAUAGUGGCUUCGGCGACACACUUUGCCAAAACAACAAUCAAGCCACCUGGUCAAUGAAAAAGGAUGAACAGUGCAUAUACAAAUGAAAUCUGGUGCUUGGAGCUGGAGUUGAACCAGCGACCUUUGGACCACAGCGUUUUACGAAACUUCUUAAAGUCAUGUGCUCUACCAACUGAGCUAUGAAGGUGCUUAUAGAUUAAAACUUAGAAAACAUAGUGGCUUCGGCGACACACUUUGCCAACACAACAAUCAAGCCACCUGGUCAAUGAAAAAGGAUGAACAGUGCAUAUACAAAUGAAAUCUGGUCCUUGGAGCAAGAGUUGAACCAGCGACCUUUGGACCACAGCGUUUCAGGAACUUCUUAAAGUCAUGUGCUCUACCAACUGAGCUAUGAAGGUGCUUAUAGAUAAAAACGCAGAAAACAUAGUGGCUUCGGCGACACACUUUGCCAACAUAACUAUUGAACCAACAUGGUCAAUGAAAAAGGUUGAACAGUGCAUAUACAAAUGAAAUCUGGUGUUUGGAGCUGGAGUUGAACCAGCGACCUUUGGACCACAGCGUUUCAGGAACUUCUUAAAGUCAUGUGCUCUACCAACUGAGCUAUGAAGGUGCUUAUAGAUAAAAACGCAGAAAACAUAGUGGCUUCGGCGACACACUUUGCCAACAUAACUAUUGAACCAACAUGGUCAAUGAAAAAGGUUGAACAGUGCAUACACCAAUGAAAUCUGGUGUUUGGAGCUGGAGUUGAACCAGCGUCCUUUGGACCACAGCGUUUAAGGAACUUCUUAAAGUCAUGUGCUCUACCAACUGAGCUAUGAAGGUGCUUAUAGAUAAAAACGCAGAAAACAUAGUGGCUUCGGCGACACACUUUGCCAACAAUACAAUUGGACCCACAUGGUCAAUGAAAAAGGUUGAACAGUGCUUAGACAAAUGAAAUCUGGUGUUUGGAGCUGGAGUUGAACCAGCGACCUUUGGACCACAGCGUUUCAGGAACUUCUUAAAGUCAUGUGCUCUACCAACUGAGCUAUGAAGCUGCUUAUAGAUAAAAACGCAGAAAACAUAGUGGCUUCGGCGACACACUUUGCCAAAACAACAAUCAAGCCACCUGGUCAAUGAAAAAGGAUGAACAGAGCAUAUACAAAUGAAAUCUGGUGCUUGGAGCUGGAGUUGAACCAGGGACCUUUGGACCACAGCGUUUCAGGAACUUC